GUGAAAUGCGUAGAUAUGUGGAGGAACACCGAUGGCGAAGGCAGCCCCCUGGGUCAAAACUGACGCUCAUGCACGAAAGCGUGGGGAGCAAACAGGAUUAGAUACCCUGGUAGUCCACGCCCUAAACGAUGUCUACUAGUUGUCGGGUCUUAAUUGACUUGGUAACGCAGCUAACGCGUGAAGUAGACCGCCUGGGGAGUACGGUCGCAAGAUUAAAACUCAAAGGAAUUGACGGGGACCCGCACAAGCGGUGGAUGAUGU
rnacentral:rRNA from 1 species